GUCCCUGUAGCGUAAUGGUUAGCGCGUUGGACUUCUAAUCCAAAGGUCGUGGGUUCGAAUUCCACUGGGAUG
rnacentral:tRNA from 1 species